rnacentral:rRNA from 1 species
UGGGAACGUGCCCAAAGGUACGGAACAACUCCGGGAAACUGGAGCUAAUACCGUAUGUGCCCGAAAGGGGAAAGAUUCAUCGCCUUUGGAUCGGCCCGCGUCUGAUUAGCUAGUUGGCGGGGUAAUGGCCCACCAAGGCGACGACGGGUAGCCGGCCUGAGAGGGUGACCGGCCACACUGGGACUGAGGCACGGCCCAGACUCCUACGGGAGCAG